rnacentral:lncRNA from 1 species
UUUAAACAAUACAGGAAUUGCUUAUUUAUAGUGAUCAGGCCGACGUGGUCACCUUGGAUUAUAUCCACUGGCCUGAUCUGUCGACCCUUAGUAUCACAUCAACUCUAUUCCAUAUUAAUUACACUGAUAGACUUUUGACAAGAGGUCAGUCAUCCUACAAAUCUAGACUGACAUCCCUGACACUCAUUAAAUGUGCACGUCACAUCAAUUAACUCUAGGGAGGCGCUUGCCAGACUCUCUUAUGAUUGUAGAGACUUCAGACAAUUAAGGAGUUUGGUUCUGAAAGUGAAACGAACUCGGUGUCCAGCGUGACAACUUCGGAUGUUGAUUCCUUUUGCAAGUUCUCGUAUGCUUGCCAUAUGUAUGAAUGUGUGGCAUCCACGUGGGUUAUUUCAUAUAAUCAGCAACAAUAGUCCCCCCGAGUCUAUGUACGAUCGUUCAUGUGAUACAUAGAAUUUAUAAUCUCUUGAUCAACUUUGGACAAGAGGCCAUUUUCGGGGGUCAACAGAAGUAAACAUUAGCCCCACCUUACUGCUGGAGAAUAGAAGUUCUUGGCCUAGAUCAUUCUGCCAAGGUCACCUGUCCUUUGCAUAAACUAAAGCAAAUAUGAGAUAUACAACCUGAUGUCGUCGCUCUUCAAUUUCUACAUCAAUCUUCUAUUCUUUCUCCAAAGUUCCACAAAAC